UUUCAUUUUACAGAGAUUUUGUUUUAUUACUACCUCACUAUCUUGACGAUGUACUAUUCGUAGUACAUACUAUAUAAUGUAUCACGGAAUAAUAUAUCCAUAUUAUUUACAAUCGCAAGCGCGCACUUCAUGCUAAGAAUCUCGCACUCGUCGUCGAAGAUUCCGGUCGUUUCUUCGGCAAGGUCGACCCAACGGCGCCUGGCAAGGCUGUGCUCGUAAUGCGUACCUCACGUUUUCACCCGUAUUCAAGCGAGCGAGUGCCUUUAUCCAGGGAGAGUGUGUUACAUAAACGGCGGCGGAGUCCGUAAGAUAAAAUCAUAGAAGCGAAUGACAAUGGGACUACUGCAAUGCUGGGGACAGAUGAGAUAUGAAGCUGACAUGGAUUCUAUUUCGCGAUGUCGGAUUUGUUACUGUCACCAAGGGGCCUACAGGAGCAUGCAGAGAGACGCAAAUAAGAGACGUGGUUUCACGUUUGAAAAUUCAAUCUCAAGCGGGACCCGAAUUCUAACUCAUAGAGACGCAUGUAUCCGAAGCUAUUAACUAUUCUCUUAUCAUCAAUCGAACACGAGAUAAAUGGCCUACUUGCUGUCCAAAUACUUAUAAAAUUCGAUCUUAACACUUUAUAUACACGAAACAGAAAGCACAGUUCUCUUUUUUGAAAAAUACUACAAACAUCUGUUUAAAUAGGGCUCUGUAAAUAUUGUAAAAUAAAAUAUCACAAAAAAAA
rnacentral:lncRNA from 13 species